rfam:Ictidomys tridecemlineatus contig068618, whole genome shotgun sequence.
GGCAGUGUAGCUCAGUGGUGGAGCACUUGCCUGCAUGCAUGGGGCUCUGGGGUUGAUCCCCAGCACUGCAA